GAAGAGAAGGAAAGAGCAGACGUAAGAGACUAAGGUAUAGAGGGAGAUCAGCCAGCAGGAGGCAGGUGGAAAAGCAAACGAAGAAAGAAGAUACGUAGAAGAGGAUGGUGAAUACUGUUCAGAAAUGAGCCAUAUGCGUUCGUGGAGUACGCGGAUCACGCGUCAGCAUCUGCAGCCCUUGGGGCUCUUCAUCAAAGACAUUUUCUAGACAAGAUUGGAUGCCUGGAACUUGGAUACGCCAACUAAUGUGGCGGGCAACCCCUUUUCACUCGUCAUCCCUCCUCCUACUUCUCUUUCACCUUGCAAAAUCCUCCCUCCACUCUCGUCGACGUGCUGCUACCGCACCUUCUACACCACCACCAUUACCACUACCACCACCGACGACGACAACAAUGUUGCCGGGAUUUCGGCUAGCUCUACAAAGGGAUACCUCCAAGUACCGUUCAUGGAUCAAGCUCAGUAUGUCUCUCUUGCGCUGACAUUCUUGGGAACACUCUUGGAUCAUUGAACCCUUUAGCAAACUAUAAGCUAACGUUAGUUACGGUCUUUUGGAGUGUCCCGAAUCUAAAUUCAGACGAUGCUGAUCGAAUAUUACGAUGUAUCGAUUAAUUUCUACAUGAAUGGACGAAGAAAUACCAAAAGAUAUCACAAAGGUUAUGAUUUCUUUUUAAACCCGAAAAAACAUUCAUUCCGCAAUGCGGUUCUAAAUGAACGACUGAACGUCGUGAAUGGUAUAGAAAGCGCUCAGGCAUUUUGCUAUGUAACGAGAGGAAUUAACCCCCCAAGUUUAAGCACGAUACAGGUACAGGAGCUGACUUUACUUCACUUACCAACCGUUCGUCCUAUACCAACGAAGCUCCUUAUUCCGCUAGCAACAGCAGUAGCAAUAGCAAUAGCAGCAACAGCAGCUCUACCACCACUAUCAUCAACCCCUUUCCUCAUCUUCUCAGCCGCUAUAGUCUCUACCUCCUUCUCCCUACCUCCCUCCUCUCACUCUC